GCCAGGGGCGGUGGUGCAUGCCUCUAGUCCCAGGUACUUGGGAGGAUGAGGUGGGAGGAUCGCUUGAACCCCAGAAUUCUGGGCUGUAGUUCGCUAUGCUGAUCGGUGUCCGCACUAAGUUCGGCAUCAAUAUGGUGACCUUCCGGGAGCAGGGGACCACCAGGUUGCCUAAGGAGGGGUGAACCAGCCCAGGUCGGAAACGGAGCAGGUCAAAACUCCGGUGCUGAUCAGUAGUGGCAUCACGCCUAUGAAAAGCCACUGCACUCAUCUGGGCAACAUAGCGAGACCCCACCUCUU
ensembl:misc_RNA Metazoa_SRP Metazoan signal recognition particle RNA